AACGAAGGUGGCAAGCGUUGUUCGGAAUCACUGGGCUUAAAGAGCACGUAGGCGGACCGUUAAGCGCCUUGUGAAAGCCCCCGGCUCAACCGGGGAAUUGCUUGGCGAACUGGCGGUCUUGAGGCAGGUAGGGGCGUGGAGAACUCUUGGUGGAGCGGUGAAAUGCGUAGAUAUCAAGAGGAAUGCCGGAGGUGAAGGCGCCGCGCUGGGCCUGUCCUGACGCUGAGGUGCGAAAGCCAGGGGAG
rnacentral:rRNA from 1 species